GAAGAGGGGAUAUUGGCCCUUUGGCCAGGAGAUAUACAACCACUUCCUGUUGUGUCACACUUGCCUGCAGUAACAUGCUGUAAGGUUUGUGGCAUAGGAGCAGUGGGCCAUACCAUAUAAUCAAGGUGUCACAUCCCGGUGGCUGGACAUGCCCUCUUGGGCUUGGCAGAUGCCAGUGGAUCCAUACAACUGCUCCGCCUGGUGGAAUCUGAGAAGAGCCACGUGCUGGAGCCAUUGUCCAGCCUUGCCCUGGAGGAGCAGUGUCUGGCUUUGUCCCUAGAUUGGUCCACUGGGAAAACUGGAAGGGCCGGGGACCAGCCCUUGAAGAUCAUCAGCAGUGACUCCACAGGGCAGCUCCACCUCCUGAUGGUGAAUGAGACGAGGCCCAGGCUGCAGAAAGUGGCCUCAUGGCAGGCACAUCAAUUCGAGGCCUGGAUUGCUGCUUUCAAUUACUGGCAUCCAGAAAUUGUGUAUUCAGG
rnacentral:lncRNA from 10 species